rnacentral:ncRNA from 2 species
UUGGACGCCUCUGGAGAGCGGGCCGCGCGCAGAUCCUGCACGCGGUCUCACCGAAGGGGGUAAUCCGUUCGCCCGCGGGGUCCAGCACCCCGCGAACCCGUUUUUGUUACGGCUUUGGGUUCGGCGGCGGGAAAUCUCUCAGGGUCGUGGACAGAGGGGGCGCG